UAAAAAAUAAAAAUAAAAACUUAGUGUAUCUUUUCUGUGAAAUUCAGCUUUAAUCAGACAUCUUGCAUUUAAUCUGACAAGACCAGCCCCUUCCAGCAACUGUCCCUUCCCCUGUACCCACUAUCUCCACCACCAGUUACCCAGAUAAGGGGGGCUCAUUGUGGGCUUUCACUUCUGCUUUUUCAAUGACACAGGGCCCAGAGGGAGAGCCCCCACCCCACUGCCCUACCCACAGCCAGGCCCCCAGGGCAGACACAAGCCUGCCCUCCCCUCCUGCACUGGGAGCUCUGGAAGGACCAGCUCAACAAGCCCAAGGUCAGGCUGGGCCCCCAGGAGACCCGGAAGACAAGCGGGCAAGGUGGACAGGGGAAUGCCGAGGAAGGGGAAGGAGUGCUGUGACCUCAGGAUCUGAAACUCAUUUCACGCAUCAAGCCCCAGCAGGGCUCAGCUUCCGCCCUCGGCUCCCCCCUUCUGCCAAGAGCCCUGAGCCAUUCACAGCACCACCAGAAAACAGGCUUGUCUCAGGCAGGUCCUGUGCCUCUUAUGCCGAGAUGCUACUGCCGCUGCUGCUGUCCUCGCUGCUGGGCGGGUCCCAGGCUAUGGAUGGGGGCUUCUCAAUCCAAGUGCAGAGGUCGGUGACAGUGCCAGAGGGCCUGUGUGUCUCUGUGCCUUGCAACCUCUCCUACCCGCGAAGGGACUGGACAGACUCUACCCCAGCUUAUGGCUACUGGUUCCGAGAAAGGGCUGAGACAAGCAAGGAUGCUCCAGUGGCAACAAACCACCCAGAUCGAGAGGUGGACAUGAGCACGUGGGACCGAUUCCAGCUCACGGGGGAUCCCGGCAAGGGGAGCUGCUCCUUGGUGAUCAGAGAUGCGCAGAUGCAGGACACGGGAGGGUACUUGUUUCGGGUGGAGAGGGGAAGCUAUGUGAAAUUCAACUUCUUGAACAAGUUCUAUCUAAAAGUAACAGCCCUGACUCAGAAGCCUGAUGUCUACAUCCCCGAGACCCUGGAGCCUGGGCGGCCAGUGAUGGUCAUCUGUGUGUUUAACUGGGCCUUCGAGAACUGUCCAGCCCCUUCUUUCUCCUGGACGGGGGCUGCCCUCUCCUCCAGAAGAACCAGACCAAGCAGCGCCCACUUCUCAGUGCUCAGCUUCACACCCAGGCCCCAGGACCAUGACACCGACCUCACCUGCCAUGUGGACUUCUCCAGAGCGGGUGUGAGCGCAGAGAGGACCGUCCGACUCCGCGUGGCCUAUGCCCCCAGAGACGUUGUCAUCAGUAUUUCCCGUGACAACACGCCAGGUACUGAGGGCCAUCGGGCUGGGACUGGGCCAGUCCUUAAAGAGGGGAUGAAAAAGCUUCAGGGGAUGAGGGGAUGUGCCCCUCCCUGUACCCCUUCUCUCUCUCUCUCCCUCCCUCUCUUUUUUUCCCUCUCUCCAGCCCUGGAGCCCCAGUCCCAGGGAAAUCUCACACAUCUGGAAGCCCAGAAAGGCCAGUUCCUGAGGCUGCUCUGUGCUGCCGACAGCCAGCCCCCUGCCACACUGAGCUGGGUGCUGCAGGACAGAGUCCUCUCCUGGUCCCACCCCUGGGGCCCCAGAACCCUGGGGCUGGAGCUUCCCCGGGUGAAGGCCGGGGAUUCAGGCCACUACACCUGCCGAGCGGAGAACAGGCUGGGCUCCCAGCAGCGAGCCCUGGACCUCUCUGUGCAGUAUCCUCCAGAGAACCUGAGAGUGAUGGUUUCCCAAGCAAACAGGACAGUCCUGGAAAACCUUGGGAACGGCACGUCCGUCCCAGUCCUGGAGGGCCAAAGCCUGCGCCUGGCCUGUGUCACCCACAGCAGUCCCCCAGCCAGGCUGAGCUGGACCCGGGGGGGACAGACCCUGAGCCCCUCCCCACCCUCAGACCCCGCGGUCCUGGAGCUGCCUCAGGUUCAAAUGGAGCACGAAGGAGAGUUCACCUGCCACGCUCAGCACCCACUGGGCUCCCAGCAUGUCUCUCUCAGCCUCUCCGUGCACUACCCCCCACAGCUGCUGGGCCCCCCCUGCUCCUGGGAGGCUGAGAGUCUGCACUGCAGCUGCUCCUCCCAGGCUAGCCCGGCCCCCUCUCUGCGCUGGUAGCUUGGAGAGGAGCUGCUGGAGGGGAACAGCAGCCGGGACUCCUUCAAGGUCACCCCCAGCUCAGCCGGGCCCUGGGCCAACAGCUCCCUGAGCCUCCGAGGGGUACUCAGCUCCCACCUCAGGCUCAGCUGUGAGGCCUGGAAUGUCCACGGGGCCCAGAGCAGCUCCAUCCUGCAGCUGCCAGAUGAGAAGGGACUGGUCUCAAAGGAACUCUUCAUCGGAGUGGUUCUGGGAAUCAUGAUCAUGGCUCUUCUUUUCCUCUGCCUCUCCCAGAUCAUCAUGAAGAUUCCACUGAAGAAACAAACUCAGGCAGAGACCCCGAGGCCCAGGUUCUCCCGGCACAGCACCAUCCUGGAUUACAUCAACGUGGUCCCGAAGGCCGGCCCCCAGGCUCCGAAUCGGAAUGAGAAGGCCACAUCAAGCAGCGCUUCUCAGACACCUCCUCCACCAGGUGCUCCCUGCCCAGAAUCAAAGAAGAACCAGAAAAAG